GUUUGUCGGGCAAGUCCAUGUGUUGCUCUGGCCAGCUGUACGGAUAAUCCUCCCCCUGCCCUUGAUGCGACUUGUACCUGUAACACUGGAUAUACAGGGGAUGGACUCGUAAAUGGAAGUGGAUGUUCAGACCUAGACGCCUGUUCGGCUAAUCCAUGUGACGCCCAGGCCACCUGUACGGAUAAUCCCCCUCCUGCCCUUAAUGCGACUUGUAUCUGCAACACUGGAUAUACAGGAGAUGGUCUCGUCAACGGAACCGGAUGUGCAGACAUUGAUGCUUGUUCGGCUAAUCCGUGUGACGCUCUGGCCACCUGUACGGAUAAUCCCCCUCCUGCCCUUGAUGCGACUUGUACCUGCAACACUGGAUAUACAGGGGAUGGACUCGUCACCGGAAAUGGGUGUUCAGACACAGAUGCUUGCUCGGCUAAUCCAUGUGACGCCCAGGCCACCUGUACGGAUAAUACCCCUCCUGCCCUUGAUGCGACUUGUACCUGCAACACUGGA